GCGUGGGUAGUAUAAUGGUUAUUAUCUCGGUUUCCCAUCAUAUGGCCCGGUGAAAAUCGGGAUUCAGGCAGCAAUAGCUUACGUCAUACCGAGGAACCGGGUUCGAUUCCCGGCUCACGCA